GAAGCCGGCCAUAUCACUUUGAAAACACUGGUUCUCGUCUGAUCACUGAAGUUAAGCAAUGUCGAGCCUAGUUAGUACUUAGAUGGGUGACCGCUUGGGAAACCUGGGUGCUGUAAACG
rfam:Octopus bimaculoides Scaffold38525_contig_17, whole genome shotgun sequence.